ACAGACCAACACAGGUAUGAUCUUGCCCCUCCUCCUCCGGCCACAAGUGAUUAAAUCAGGUGGACGCCCCACACACCUGGCCCAAUCAGCUGCUGCGUCUCAAGAGUUCAGACUUGAAGGCCUGAGCUAGUGUGCUGUGAUGAGCUACACGGACAGGUCUUGCUAGUUGCAGGACUUGGACUUACUUUGGGUGUGGCCACAGGAGUCUUGUGAGAGAAGUUUGUUUUCUCAGCUGACUAGAUUGUGGGCGAAGUGACAUCACCAUCUGAUCAGCAUCUAAAAACAUUUCAGCUACGUUAAAAAAAAUAGAGAUCUCGAACGUGCUCCCUUAAUUACAUUUGACCAUUUGAGCAGCUGCGUGGAAACCCCGGGUAGCCGGCCUGUUCUGCAAUUUGUUUUGAAAACAAGCUUUUCAGUCUCUCGGCUGCGAGGAUCCUGUGUAAAGGGUGUACACUGUGAAUCACAGUUUCAAAGGAAGACGACAAACACAGAUCUCAGCCAAGUAAUUUGUAAAACUGGACUGCUGACAGAAAUUCAGGAAGCAGCAGAAAACAACCAAGAACAAAGACACAGUCAAGAGGCUGGAUGUGACCUGAAGGAAUCACGGGAAGAAGCUCCGGGGUGAAGGAAAGACGAGGAGCAGAGACCCCGAGGGGCUGAGAACACGUGGUCUGAAUGCAGGAUGCCCUGAAUGUUUGGGACCUGAGCUGCCUUCGGCUGUUCCUAACGUGCGUUUAGUUCCCCGAGGGAACAGGGAACGGACUGUUUCUUCAGUUAGAUUCACAGCUUUCAUUGUCAUCAUGAACUCAAUCAGUCCAAAUCUCUUUAAUGAUUACUUCAUGGAUUCUGUGGUCUUUUUCUCUAAUAAUAACAAUAACAAAAUAAAAAUAAGUAACACUUAUGGAGCUUUCUAC
ensembl:lncRNA